UACAGAGGUCCCAAGCGUUGUUCGGAUUCACUGGGCGUAAAGGGUGCGUAGGUGGUCAGGUAAGUCUGAUGUGAAAGCUCUGGGCUCAACCCAGAAAUGGCAUUGGAUACUAUCUGGCUAGAGGAAUGGAGGGGGACGUGGAAUACUUGGUGUAGCAGUGAAAUGCGCAGAUAUCGGGAAGAACACCUAUGGCGAAGGCAGCUCUCUGGGACGGUACUGACGCUCAGGCGCGACGAGCGAUGGGGGAUCAAACAGG
rnacentral:rRNA from 1 species